UACGUAGGUGGCAAGCGUUGUCCGGAAUUAUUGGGCGUAAAGCGCGCGCAGGCGGUCCUUUAAGUCUGAUGUGAAAGCCCACGGCUCAACCGUGGAGGGUCAUUGGAAACUGGGGGACUUGAGUCCGGAAGGGGCGAGUGGAAUUCCUGGUGUAGCGGUGAAAUGCGCAGAUAUCAGGAAGAACACCCGUGGCGAAGGCGGCUCUCUGGGACGGUACUGACGCUGAGACGCGAAAGCGUGGGGAGCGAACAGG
rnacentral:rRNA from 1 species